rnacentral:lncRNA from 1 species
GUUCAAUGAGAUUUGCUACUUCUUACUAUAUUACCAAACAUUUUUUUUCAGGCUCUGAUAUCUACUUUCUGUGUCUAUUUUCAAAAAAUAUCUAAGUUGGUUAGCAAGUGUAAUUUCUAAUGUGCCACAUCAGUUGUGAUCCAAAGCCUCAGGUAACACAUCUGAUACAUUGGUUUUGUGAUCUUGGUGGUUACUUUAAUUUUCUCAGCCCAUGUUUCUUCAUUUAUAAAAUGGGAUGGGGUGGAUUUAACAGCUUUAUUAGCAUAGGAACUUGAUGCAAUUAGCAGUCUCUUCCACAAACUUCAGCAUCUGAGGAACCCAUAAGUAAUCUCUUGUCUAAUUCCAUUCUUCAUUGGACACCUUCCUGGACAAUGGCCAAGACCUUGGGGAAGUGCGGGAAAAACAGUCUGCUGCAUCCUGCCUGCCCUUCUCACCUACUGCAGGGAAGGCAGAACAAUCUUAUCAGCUUCAUAAUUUCCCACUUAUGACAAAAAAAUCAACCAGCAUCCUUAACAUUGCUGAAAACAUUAAAAUGACCCAGAGCUUAAAUUAUCUUCCAUUUCAAGAUCUCCAAGUAGUAAAUCAAAAUGCACAAUAAUCAUUCCUAUGAGACAGAUGGAGCAACAGAAGCAGAAAAAGAAGAAAACACUUCCCCAGAGCCAUUUGGCAGUUCCAUCUUCCAGAGUAUGUGCCUUCCGCACUUUUUUAUCCACUGUGUCCGGCAAUAAAGCAACCAAAGAAGAUCCAACAAAUAUGUUGAGGACCUUUACUCUAAAUCUAUUAAAGUUGGAUUCUAAUGCUUCCUUUUUACUAUUCUUUGUUCGAACAACCUGACCUGUUCACUUCCAUUUCCAUUGAAUCAACAAACAUUUAUUAAACAUUAUUAUGCACCAGGCACUGUGCAAGAAUACAAAGAAAAAGUGAAACCAGUCCCUGCCUUUAAGGAGCUUACAUUAUAAGAUACAUGUAUGGGUAUAAGCAAGAUACAUACAAAGUAGAUACAAAGUAGCUCUAGAAGGAAAGGCACUAUAUUUUCUCCAUAAAUUUUUCUCUAGUCUUAGUAAUAUAUGUCUUCUUUCACAACAUGGCAAACAUGUUAAUAGGUAUUAUGUGAUAAUAUAUGUACAAUCUAUAUUAUAUUACCUACCCUCUUAGGGAGGAUGAAGGGUUUGAAGGAGGGACAUAGCAUGAAUUGACAAAUAUAAGGAAAC